AUUGCCAGGGUGGAUUUGAUGGGGUGGUAUCUUCAGGUUGGCAUUGCCAGGGUGGAAUUGCCAGGGUGGGUUUGCUGGGGUGGGUUUGCCAGGGCAGAAUUGCCAGGGUGGAUUUGAUGGGGUGGUAUUUUCAGGUUGGCAUUGCCAGGGCAGAAUUGCCAGGGUGGAUUUGCCAGGGCAGAAUUGCCAGGAUGGAUUUGCCAGGGCAGAAUUGCCAGGGUGGCUUUUCCAGGGUGGAUUUGCUGGGGUGGGUUUUUUUCAGGUUGGCACUGCCAGGGUGGAUUUGCUGGGGUGGUUUUGCCAGGGCAGAAUUACCAGGGUGG